ACCCUCCAGUUCCCUUUCCCAUCAGAUCUUGAUGCAGAUCUUGGUGGCUGGAAAGGAGGAAGAACACACUGAAGCUGGCUUCAUGGCGAUGUAGUCUGGUAUAGAGCAUUGAGUCAGAUUCAUACAUUC
ensembl:snoRNA small nucleolar RNA SNORA61